rnacentral:rRNA from 1 species
GACGAACGCUGGCGGCGUGCUUAACACAUGCAAGUCGAACGGAAAGGCCCUGCUUUUGUGGGGUGCUCGAGUGGCGAACGGGUGAGUAACACGUGAGUAACCUGCCCUUGACUUUGGGAUAACUUCAGGAAACUGGGGCUAAUACCGGAUAGGAGCUCCUGCUGCAUGGUGGGGGUUGGAAAGUUUCGGCGGUUUGGGAUGGACUCGCGGCUUAUCAGCUUGUUGGUGGGGUAGUGGCUUACCAAGGCUUUGACGGGUAGCCGGCCUGAGAGGGUGACCGGCCACAUUGGGACUGAGAUACGGCCCAGACUCCUACGGGAGGCAGCAGUGGGGAAUAUUGCACAAUGGGCGGAAGCCUGAUGCAGCAACGCCGCGUACGGGAUGACGGCCUUCGGGUUGUAAACCGCUUUCGCCUGUGACGAAGCGUGAGUGACGGUAAUGGGUAAAGAAGCACCGGCUAACUACGUG